rnacentral:lncRNA from 1 species
GAAGUUUUAGUUCAAGCAUUUCACCAAACGUUUGGUGUGUGAGUUUCAGAACGGCAUACAUGUUAUCAAAUUCAAAACAGAACCGAAACUAACAUCAGCCAUAACACAGCAAUAACAACAACAUACUCAUGUAAAACAAACUAAACACGAUUCUGAACCUAAAUUGCAUAAGAUGAACUGAGUCAAACUCGGUUUCCAAACCCAUCCAAAUCCAAAACCAAAACCGAAUUCUAAAUCAAAUUGGAAUUCGAAUCGAUUGAGAUAUGAGCAGAUUAAUGUUGUUAUUGUGUGAGCAUCACCCGAGCGACUUGGUCACUUUUGCAUCAACUGGAAGCGCUUAUGGCAAAAAAAGGUAAAAAUCACAUUUUGCAGGAAUCACUUCUGGAAAUGCGAUUCUGAGUUGCACGCUUUCUCGUUCCUGGGUUUUC